rnacentral:rRNA from 1 species
UACGGGGGGGGCAAGCGUUGUUCGGAAUUACUGGGCGUAAAGGGCUCGUAGGUGGCCAACUAAGUCAGACGUGAAAUCCCUCGGCUUAACCGGGGAACUGCGUCUGAUACUGGAUGGCUUGAGUUCGGGAGAGGGAUGCGGAAUUCCAGGUGUAGCGGUGAAAUGCGUAGAUAUCUGGAGGAACACCGGUGGCGAAGGCGGCAUCCUGGACCGACACUGACACUGAGGAACGAAAGCCAGGGGAGCAAACGGG